GUGGAAGGCCGGAGUGCGGGCCGUGAGGGGUGUGCGCGCUUGAGCCGGAGCGGGGCUCGCCCCUCGUCGGCUCCCGCCGCCCAGCCGGUGAUCGCUCUCCGGCCGUCCCCGGCACCCUCGGCCCCCCACGGCGGUUGGUCCGGGCGGGGGAAGGAGAAAGUGAGACUCGGUGUCAUCACCAAUCCGUCGCCAGAAGGGGAGGAAACUGGAAUCCAGCAGCGGCGAGCAGCAGCUGGGCGGAUUUAUUUAAUGGGGAUGUGUUCAAGGCAAGACCGAAUUCAGAAGGAUAUCGACGUCGUGAUCCAGAAGUCCAGAGCUGAGGACUGCCUGUUUGCAGAUUCAGAUACUCAGACUCCACCUUUACUUUUACCUAUGUUGGCGGCCCCAGAAGGUAUUUAUGGGUGUAGAGUUGCUUCAUUUCCUGUUCACACUCUUGUGUUUCCUUUGUUCUUAGCGUGUUCCGUGUUCGGGUAUUUUGGUUGCUUGUUUGAUUACUGUGGCUUUUCUUUACCUACAACCCAAGCCUGACGU
ensembl:lncRNA LINC01138 long intergenic non-protein coding RNA 1138